AUAGAACGUUGGCGGCAUGCCUUACACAUGCAAGUCGAACGGCAGCACGGGAGCAAUCCUGGUGGCGAGUGGCGAACGGGUGAGUAAAGUAUCGGAACGUGCCCAGUCGUGGGGGAUAACGUAGCGAAAGUUACGCUAAUACCGCAUACGAUCUAUGGAUGAAAGCGGGGGAUCGCAAGACCUCGCGCGAUUGGAGCGGCCGAUAUCAGAUUAGGUAGUUGGUGGGGUAAAGGCUCACCAAGCCGACGAUCUGUAGCUGGUCUGAGAGGACGACCAGCCACACUGGGACUGAGACACGGCCCAGACUCCUACGGGAGGCAGCAGUGGGGAAUUUUGGACAAUGGGCGAAAGCCUGAUCCAGCCAUGCCGCGUGCAGGAUGAAGGCCUUCGGGCUGUAAACUGCUUCUGUACGGAACGAAAAGGUUUGGCCUAAUAAGCUGAGCUCAUGACGGUACCGUAAGAAUAAGCACCGGCUAACUACGUGCCAGCCGCCGCCGUAA
rnacentral:rRNA from 1 species